AAAUUGAAGAGUUUGAUCAUGGCUCAGAUUGAACGCUGGCGGCAGGCCUAACACAUGCAAGUCGAACGGUAACAGGAAGAAGCUUGCUUCUUUGCUGACGAGUGGCGGACGGGUGAGUAAUGUCUGGGAAACUGCCUGAUGGAGGGGGAUAACUACUGGAAACGGUAGCUAAUACCGCAUAAUGUCGCAAGACCAAAGAGGGGGACCUUCGGGCCUCUUGCCAUCGGAUGUGCCCAGAUGGGAUUAGCUAGUAGGUGGGGUAACGGCUCACCUAGGCGACGAUCCCUAGCUGGUCUGAGAGGAUGACCAGCCACACUGGAACUGAGACACGGUCCAGACUCCUACGGGAGGCAGCAGUGGGGAAUAUUGCACAAUGGGCGCAAGCCUGAUGCAGCCAUGCCGCGUGUAUGAAGAAGGCCUU
rnacentral:rRNA from 1 species